rnacentral:rRNA from 1 species
UACAGAGGGGGCAAGCGUUGUUCGGAAUUACUGGGCGUAAAGGGCGCGUAGGCGGCCUUCUAAGUCGAACGUGAAAUCCCCGGGCUCAACCCGGGAACUGCGUCCGAUACUGGAAGGCUUGAAUCCGGGAGAGGGAUGCGGAAUUCCAGGUGUAGCGGUGAAAUGCGUAGAUAUCUGGAGGAACACCGGUGGCGAAGGCGGCAUCCUGGACCGGCAUUGACGCUGAGGCGCGAAAGCCAUGGGAGCAAACGGG